rnacentral:rRNA from 1 species
CNGUAAACGAUGAGUGCUAGGUGUUAGNCCCUUUCCGGGGCUUAGUGCCGGAGCUAACGCAAUAAGCACUCCGCNUGGGGAGUACGACCGCAAGGUUGAAACUCAAAGGAAUUGACGGGGGCCCGCACAAGCGGUGGAGCAUGUGGUUUAAUUCGAAGCAACGCGAAGANCCUUACCAGGUCUUGACAUCCCGAUGCUAUUCUUAGAGAUAGGAAGUUACUUCGGUACAUCGGAGACAGGUGGUGCAUGGUUGUCGUCAGCUCGUGUCGUGAGAUGUUGGGUUAAGUNNCGCAACGAGCGCAACCCUUAUUGUUAGUUGCCAUCAUUAAGUUGGGCACUCUAGCGAGACUGCCGGUAAUAAACCGGAGGAAGGUGGGGAUGACGUCAAAUCAUCAUGCCCCUUAUGACCUGGGCUACACACGUGCUACAGUGGUCGGUACAACGAGUUGCGAGCCGGUGACGGCAAGCUAAUCUCUGAAAGCCGAUCUCAGUUCGGAUUGGAGGCUGCAACUCGCCUCCAUGAAGUCGGAAUCGCUAGUAAUCGCGGAUCAGCACGCCGCGGUGAAUACGUUCCCGGGCCUUGU